UACAGAGGGGGCGAGCGUUUGUUCGGAAUUACUGGGCGUAAAGGGCGCGUUAGGCGGCCCUCUAAGUCGAACGUGAAAUCCCCGGGCUCAACCCGGGAACUGCGUCCGAUACUGGAGGGCUCGAAUCCGGGAGAGGGAUGUGGAAUUCCAGGUGUAGCGGUGAAAUGCGUAGAUAUCAAGUGGAACACCAGUGGCGAAGGCGAAUCCCUGGAAAAUACCUGACACUGAGGCACGAAAGCUAGGGGAGCAAACAGG
rnacentral:rRNA from 1 species